rfam:Homo sapiens chromosome 6, GRCh38 reference primary assembly.
GCUGGGCAUGGUGAUGUGUGCCUGUAGUUCCAGCUACUCAGGAGGCUAAGAUGGGAGGAUCGCUUGAGCCCAGGAGGUCAAGGCUGCAGUGAGCCAAGAUUGUGCCACUGCACUCCAGCCUGGGCAACAGAGUGAGACCCUGUCUCAA